rnacentral:rRNA from 1 species
GCUGGCGGCGUGCCUAACACAUGCAAGUCGAACGAGAAAGGGGAGCAAUCCCUGAGUAAAGUGGCGACCGGGUGAGUAACACGUGACUAACCUGCCUUCGAGUGGGGGAUAACCUCGGGAAACCGGGGCUAAUACCGCAUAAUGCCGAGAGGUUAGAGGAGCAAUUCGCUUGAAGAGGGGGUCGCGGCUGAUUAGCUAGUUGGCGGGGUAACGGCCCACCAAGGCGAUGAUCGGUAGCCGGCCUGAGAGGGCGCACGGCCACACUGGAACUGAAACACGGUCCAGACUCCUACGGGAGGCAGCAGUGGGGAAUUUUGCGCAAUGGGGGAAACCCUGACGCAGCAACGCCGCGUGGAGGAUGAAGUCCCUUGGGACGUAAACUCCUUUCGACCGGGACGAUAAUGACGGUACCGGUGGAAGAAGCCCCGGCUAACUUCGUGCCAGCAGCCGCGGUAAUACGAGGGGGGCGAGCGUUGUUCGGAAUUAUUGGGCGUAAAGGGCGCGUAGGCGGUGCGGUAAGUCACCUGUGAAACCUCCGGGCUUAACUCGGAGCCUGCAGGCGAAACUGCCGUGCUGGAGUGUGGGANAAGUGCGUGAAUCCCGGUGUAGCGGUGAAUGCGUAAUUCGGAGGAACACUGUGGCGAACGCCAUGACACACUGACCUGAGCCGAAACUAGGACAACAGAUAAUACCUGUAU